rnacentral:rRNA from 1 species
GGGGNGGNUUNNNNUUAAGCUUCCUGGUGGUCCGGGUAACGGGGAAUUAGGGUUCGAUUCCGGAGAGGGAGCCUGAGAAACGGCUACCACAUCCAAGGAAGGCAGCAGGCGCGCAAAUUACCCAAUCCCGACACGGGGAGGUAGUGACAAUAAAUAACAAUACGGGGCUCUUUCGGGUCUCGUAAUUGGAAUGAGUACAAUUUAAAUCCCUUAACGAGGAACAAUUGGAGGGCAAGUCUGGUGCCAGCAGCCGCGGUAAUUCCAGCUCCAAUAGCGUAUAUUAAAGUUGUUGCAGUUAAAAAGCUCGUAGUUGAAUUUCGGGAUUGACACAUCGGUCGUGCCCUAAGGGGUAUGAACUGGUGUAGUCAAUUUCUCACCUUCUGGAGAACCGCGAUGCCCUUAAUUGGGUGUCACGGGGAACCANGACCUUUACUUUGAAAAAAUUAGAGUGUUUAAAGCAGGCAUUUUGCUUGAAUACAUUAGCAUGGAAUAAUAAAAUAGGACGGCAUGAUUCUAUUUUGUUGGUUUCUAGGAUCACCGUAAUGAUUAAUAGGGAUAGUUGGGGGCAUUAGUAUUCAAUUGUCAGAGGUGAAAUUCUUGGAUUUAUUGAAGACUAACUACUGCGAAAGCAUUUGCCAAGGAUGUUUUCAUUAAUCAAGAACGAAAGUUAGGGGAUCGAAGACGAUCAGAUACCGUCGUAGUCUUAACCAUAAACUAUGCCGACUAGGAAUCAGACGAUGUUAAUUUUUUAAUGACUCUUUNGAAGGUNNUNCANNNNAANNNNNNCC